CUAAUAUGUGCUUUUGUGCUGAUCUUGUGCAAACUUCUUAAGCCUGCGCACCUGCUUUCUCAUGUCCUGUCGGUGGAAAUCAUGGAGCCUCGGGACUGCUGUUUGAACGCUGUACUGUAGAAGGCACAGACUGAGAUGCUGGAUCAACUGCGCAUGCCUGUCUUUGUGACCGGCUGCUAUCGAUCCUUCCGAGCCCGUGUGCCACGCUGGAAAGCUGCAUCUAAGAGUUAAGAUUUACUGGCUUAAAAGCGUGUGUGUCGUGGGAUUGCGCGGUGGCUCAGUAAAUUGUGAGAAUUCAAUGUGAACAUCUUUGAAAUGCAGUUUCAAAUCUCCCACACGCUGACAAGAGCCACGUGAACCAUUGUGCAGCACUGCACCCAUUUGACAGAUGAGAGCAUGGAUACCUAACCGGAGCCUGGCAGGUCUUGGACAGCAGAGGCCACCCUGCAUCUGACACCAUCUCUUGUAAUCCAUGACUUCUCUUCCUGCCUCCAUGAAUCUCCAGAUAACAGAUUCCUGCCCUCCUAAAAGAUGGGACAAGACAAACACCAAAGGGCAGUGUUGGACUGCAGGGGGGACCAGGAGACCUUACUGACUCGUCGGCAAUAAAGUUUGUGUGGAACUGACAUCCUAGCAGGCUCCUGGGCGAUGCAGAUGCUGGCAUUCUGGGCACUGCCCUUUGGAAAGCUAUGAUGACCACUGAAGCAGAACAGACCAAAGCAAAGAGGUGGGAAAGUCGCGAGAAGAUACAGGACUGGCUGGGAUACAUCAGGAAGAGGAGCUGCGAUGGAUGGGACUUCAAAUGGAAGUUGGUGAUUAUAUCCGUCCCAGCACCUCCCGCCUUGCAAGAGAGGCCUUAUAAAUCCUGGUCACAAGGAAGGGAAACAGAAGCUCAAGGAAGAGAGAGCCAUGGCUUCCUAGGUGUCAGUGAAGACCCAGACGCUGAAACUAUAACCGCCUAGUUCAGAAACCUAUACUUUGCUUGACCACAAUCCAAGCAGGGGGUGGGGAUGGGAUGUUUUUCUGCAGGGCUGGACAUAGAGUCAGUGUUCAGAGCACAUUGUUGGAGAGAGGAAGGAUGGGUGAGUGAAUAAGUGAAGAAAUGAAUGAGAGAACAGAACCACUUUGAGAGCCUGGAAACCGGGACCUCACGCUCUGUGACCUCACGCUCCAACUUCCCCUCCUCCCCGAGUCUGAUCUGAAAGGUGACCCCCGUUCCUCUCGCCCAGGUGAUAAAGCCAGGUGCAGGUGCACCUGUUACCCAAACCUGAUAUCCAAAUAGGAAGUAAGGCUGAGAUAAGGCUGUGGAGGGCAGUGCCUGGAAUCACGGGGUUGGGCUGGCCAUUGGCUUGAUGCCACAAGUGUCCACCGAGCCUCUCCUAAAGGUUGAGCUCUAUGCCAGGUUCCUUCAGGGUGAGGCAGGAAGCCACGCAGCUCCUGACCUCCAACAGCUUAUGGAAAAAAAAAAUACUUACAAACAGGAUGUGGGUCGGGCAAAGGGAGAAGUGUGAAGCAGGUGGCCAUUGCUCCCUGACAGCUCCAACAGGGAGUUGGGACUGAGAGAUGAGAAGAAAUGAGGCAGUAGUUAGUGAUGCCAGGGGAGGGGCCUGACCCUUGCACUGCCAUUGCUGAGGAAUAAGAGGUCCUUAAAGUUUAGCUCCUCAGACCCAGACCCCUCCCCAGUCCUCCUAC
rnacentral:lncRNA from 1 species